rnacentral:tRNA from 1 species
GCAGUGGUGGCUCAGUGGUAGAGCACUCACCUAGCACGUGCGAGGUGCUGGGUUUGAUCCUCAGCACUACA